rnacentral:rRNA from 1 species
CCUACGGGAGGCAGCAGUGGGGAAUAUUGCACAAUGGGGGAAACCCUGAUGCAGCGACGCCGCGUGAGUGAAGAGGUAUCUCGGUACGUAAAGCCCUAUCAGCAGGGAAGAAAAUGACGGUACCUGACUAAGAAGCCCCGGCUAACUACGUGCCAGCAGCCGCGGUAAUACGGAGGGGGCAAGCGUUAUCCGGAUGUACUGGGUGUAAAGGGAGCGUAGACGGCAGCACAAGUCUGGAGUGAAAUCCCGGGGCUGAACCGCGGACCUGCUUGGGAAACUGGGAGGCGGGAGUGCAGGAGGGGUAAGCGGAAUGCGUGGUGUAGCGGGGAAAUGCGUAGAUAUCAGGCGGAACGCCGAUGGCGAAGGCGGCAGGCUGGACUCUAACUGACGUUGAGGCACGAAAGCGUGGGGAGCGAACAGGAGUAGAGACCCGAGUAGUC